rnacentral:lncRNA from 1 species
AGGAUUGAAACAGUUUUGAGAGGAUGAGAAUUACUUGAGAAAUAAUUGUUGAAGAGAGGGCUGAAAAUAAAGAGAAGAAAAUAAUGGGUUAUGAAGUCUAAAAUUGCAAAGUGCUUAAGGAAGUGUAAGUCACUAUUAUAUAGUUUUCCUACCCAUCUCCUAGACUACAUUACAACCCAUUAAAGUCCUAUUUGAUUCUAUUCAAGCAUGCUUAAUUAGUGGAGAUGUACAUAAUG